rnacentral:rRNA from 1 species
AGAGUUUGAUCAUGGCUCAGGACGAACGCUGGCGGCGUGCUUAACACAUGCAAGUCGAACGAUGAUGCCCAGCUUGCUGGGCGGAUUAGUGGCGAACGGGUGAGUAACACGUGAGUAACCUGCCCCUGACUCUGGGAUAAGCGUUGGAAACGACGUCUAAUACUGGAUAUGAUCACUGGUCGCAUGGCCUGGUGGUGGAAAGAUUUUUUGGUUGGGGAUGGACUCGCGGCCUAUCAGCUUGUUGGUGAGGUAAUGGCUCACCAAGGCGACGACGGGUAGCCGGCCUGAGAGGGUGACCGGCCACACUGGGACUGAGACACGGCCCAGACUCCUACGGGAGGCAGCAGUGGGGAAUAUUGCACAAUGGGCGAAAGCCUGAUGCAGCAACGCCGCGUGAGGGAUGACGGCCUUCGGGUUGUAAACCUCUUUUAGUAGGGAAGAAGCGAAAGUGGCGGUACCUGCAGAAAAAGCACCGGCUAACUACGUGCCAGCAGCCGCGGUAAUACGUAGGGUGCAAGCGUUGUCCGGAAUUAUUGGGCGUAAAGAGCUCGUAGGCGGUUUGUCGCGUCUGCUGUGAAAUCCCGAGGCUCAACCUCGGGCUUGCAGUGGGUACGGGCAGACUAGAGUGCGGUAGGGGAGAUUGGAAUUCCUGGUGUAGCGGUGGAAUGCGCAGAUAUCAGGAGGAACACCGAUGGCGAAGGCAGAUCUCUGGGCCGUAACUGACGCUGAGGAGCGAAAGCAUGGGGAGCGAACAGGAUUAGAUACCCUAGUAGUCC